rnacentral:rRNA from 1 species
UGGGGGAUAUUGCACAAUGGGCGAAAGCCUGAUGCAGCGACGCCGCGCGGGGGAUGAAGGCUUUCGGGUUGUAAACCUCUUUCGCUAUCGAACAAGGCCCGCUUAGGGUGGGUUGAGGGUAGGUGGAGAAGAAGCGCCGGCUAACUACGUGCCAGCAGCCGCGGUAAUACGUAGGGCGCGAGCGUUGUCCGGAAUUAUUGGGCGUAAAGGGCUUGUAGGCGGCUUGUUGCGCCUGCUGUGAAAACGCGGGGCUUAACUUCGCGCGUGAAGUGGGUACGGGCAGGCUUGAGUGUGGUAGGGGUGACUGGAAUUCCAGGUGUAGCGGUGGAAUGCGCAGAUAUCUGGAGGAACACCGAUGGCGAAGGCAGGUCACUGGGCCAUUACUGACGCUGAGGAGCGAAAGCAUGGGUAGCGAACAGG